ACUAAGCGUACACGGUGGAUGCCCUGGCAGUCAGAGGCGAUGAAGGACGUGCUAAUCUGCGAUAAGCGUCGGUAAGGUGAUAUGAACCGUUAUAACCGGCGAUUUCCGAAUGGGGAAACCCAGUGUGAUUCGUCACACUAUCAUUAACUGAAUCCAUAGGUUAAUGAGGCGAACCGGGGGAACUGAAACAUCUAAGUACCCCGAGGAAAAGAAAUCAACCGAGAUUCCCCCAGUAGCGGCGAGCGAACGGGGAGCAGCCCAGAGCCUGAAUCAGUGUGUGUGUUAGUGGAAGCGUCUGGAAAGGCGUGCGAUACAGGGUGACAGCCCCGUACACAAAAAUGCACAUACUGUGAGCUCGAUGAGUAGGGCGGGACACGUGGUAUCCUGUCUGAAUAUGGGGGGACCAUCCUCCAAGGCUAAAUACUCCUGACUGACCGAUAGUGAACCAGUACCGUGAGGGAAAGGCGAAAAGAACCCCGGCGAGGGGAGUGAAAAAGAACCUGAAACCGUGUACGUACAAGCAGUGGGAGCACGCUUAGGCGUGUGACUGCGUACCUUUUGUAUAAUGGGUCAGCGACUUAUAUUCUGUAGCAAGGUUAACCGAAUAGGGGAGCCGAAGGGAAACCGAGUCUUAACUGGGCGUUAAGUUGCAGGGUAUAGACCCGAAACCCGGUGAUCUAGCCAUGGGCAGGUUGAAGGUUGGGUAACACUAACUGGAGGACCGAACCGACUAAUGUUGAAAAAUUAGCGGAUGACUUGUGGCUGGGGGUGAAAGGCCAAUCAAACCGGGAGAUAGCUGGUUCUCCCCGAAAGCUAUUUAGGUAGCGCCUCGUGAAUUCAUCUCCGGGGGUAGAGCACUGUUUCGGCAAGGGGGUCAUCCCGACUUACCAACCCGAUGCAAACUGCGAAUACCGGAGAAUGUUAUCACGGGAGACACACGGCGGGUGCUAACGUCCGUCGUGAAGAGGGAAACAACCCAGACCGCCAGCUAAGGUCCCAAAGUCAUGGUUAAGUGGGAAACGAUGUGGGAAGGCCCAGACAGCCAGGAUGUUGGCUUAGAAGCAGCCAUCAUUUAAAGAAAGCGUAAUAGCUCACUGGUCGAGUCGGCCUGCGCGGAAGAUGUAACGGGGCUAAACCAUGCACCGAAGCUGCGGCAGCGACGCUUAUGCGUUGUUGGGUAGGGGAGCGUUCUGUAAGCCUGUGAAGGUGUGCUGUGAGGUAUGCUGGAGGUAUCAGAAGUGCGAAUGCUGACAUAAGUAACGAUAAAGCGGGUGAAAAGCCCGCUCGCCGGAAGACCAAGGGUUCCUGUCCAACGUUAAUCGGGGCAGGGUGAGUCGACCCCUAAGGCGAGGCCGAAAGGCGUAGUCGAUGGGAAACAGGUUAAUAUUCCUGUACUUGGUGUUACUGCGAAGGGGGGACGGAGAAGGCUAUGUUGGCCGGGCGACGGUUGUCCCGGUUUAAGCGUGUAGGCUGGUUUUCCAGGCAAAUCCGGAAAAUCAAGGCCGAGGCGUGAUGACGAGGCACUACGGUGCUGAAGCAACAAAUGCCCUGCUUCCAGGAAAAGCCUCUAAGCAUCAGGUAACAUCAAAUCGUACCCCAAACCGACACAGGUGGUCAGGUAGAGAAUACCAAGGCGCUUGAGAGAACUCGGGUGAAGGAACUAGGCAAAAUGGUGCCGUAACUUCGGGAGAAGGCACGCUGAUACGUAGGUGAAGCGACUUGCUCGUGGAGCUGAAAUCAGCCGAAGAUACCAGCUGGCUGCAACUGUUUAUUAAAAACACAGCACUGUGCAAACACGAAAGUGGACGUAUACGGUGUGACGCCUGCCCGGUGCCGGAAGGUUAAUUGAUGGGGUUAGCGCAAGCGAAGCUCUUGAUCGAAGCCCCGGUAAACGGCGGCCGUAACUAUAACGGUCCUAAGGUAGCGAAAUUCCUUGUCGGGUAAGUUCCGACCUGCACGAAUGGCGUAAUGAUGGCCAGGCUGUCUCCACCCGAGACUCAGUGAAAUUGAACUCGCUGUGAAGAUGCAGUGUACCCGCGGCAAGACGGAAAGACCCCGUGAACCUUUACUAUAGCUUGACACUGAACAUUGAGCCUUGAUGUGUAGGAUAGGUGGGAGGCUUUGAAGUGUGGACGCCAGUCUGCAUGGAGCCGACCUUGAAAUACCACCCUUUAAUGUUUGAUGUUCUAACGUGGACCCGUGAUCCGGGUUGCGGACAGUGUCUGGUGGGUAGUUUGACUGGGGCGGUCUCCUCCUAAAGAGUAACGGAGGAGCACGAAGGUUGGCUAAUCCUGGUCGGACAUCAGGAGGUUAGUGCAAUGGCAUAAGCCAGCUUGACUGCGAGCGUGACGGCGCGAGCAGGUGCGAAAGCAGGUCAUAGUGAUCCGGUGGUUCUGAAUGGAAGGGCCAUCGCUCAACGGAUAAAAGGUACUCCGGGGAUAACAGGCUGAUACCGCCCAAGAGUUCAUAUCGACGGCGGUGUUUGGCACCUCGAUGUCGGCUCAUCACAUCCUGGGGCUGAAGUAGGUCCCAAGGGUAUGGCUGUUCGCCAUUUAAAGUGGUACGCGAGCUGGGUUUAGAACGUCGUGAGACAGUUCGGUCCCUAUCUGCCGUGGGCGCUGGAGAACUGAGGGGGGCUGCUCCUAGUACGAGAGGACCGGAGUGGACGCAUCACUGGUGUUCGGGUUGUCAUGCCAAUGGCACUGCCCGGUAGCUAAAUGCGGAAGAGAUAAGUGCUGAAAGCAUCUAAGCACGAAACUUGCCCCGAGAUGAGUUCUCCCUGACCCUUUAAGGGUCCUGAAGGAACGUUGAAGACGACGACGUUGAUAGGCCGGGUGUGUAAGCGCAGCGAUGCGUUGAGCUAACCGGUACUAAUGAACCGUGAGGCUUAACC
rnacentral:rRNA from 1 species